UACGUAGGGGGCAAGCGUUGUCCGGAUUUAUUGGGCGUAAAGAGCGUGUAGGCGGCCAAGCAGGUCCGCUGUGAAAACUCGAGGCUCAACCUCCAGACGUCGACGGAAACCGUAUGGCUAGAGUCCGGAAGAGGAGAGUGGAAUUCCUGGUGUAGCGGUGAAAUGCGCAGAUAUCAGGAAGAACACCAAUGGCGAAGGCAGCUCUCUGGGACGGUACUGACGCUGAGACGCGAAAGCGUGGGGAGCGAACAGG
rnacentral:rRNA from 1 species